GCUUUAGUCCUCUGCCUUGCUACAUCUGAAGGAGCACGCCUAGGCUGGAGGCCCCGGAGCACCUUGGGAAGAGGGGAGUAGGGCUGGAACUCACGCUCCCAUCUUCGAUGCUGAGGAUCAUCCAUGGUCUGCCUCUCCCUCCCUCAGCCCCGGCUCCUCUACAGAUCCUGAUUCUGGCACUGCUGUAUGAUGGGCUUGCUGCCUGAAAACAUGGCUCCCCCGCUGCAUCGGGACGGAUCGCAAACAGCUCGUCCUUGUGUGCCUGCCUAGGUGUGGGUGUGGGAGCCUUCAGGGACUUCCUGAGAAGCACGCUGGGGCAUAUGAAGCCUUGGCUUCCUGUUUGGCUCCUUGAGUGGUCUGGGUUGAUUAAGAUUUCAGUUGCCCUGGGUGCAGAGCACGCUAGAGGCGAGGAGACCAUGGACGGGGAGCAAAGACCUCCCCGGGAUGGCUGAAGCUGACAGAAGGCUGGCAAUCUGUUGAGAUGCUCAUGGGCAGCCAGGAGACCAGCAGGACCACUGCACCAAGGCACCCUUGACUGGCAUGAAGCUUGGGUACCCAGAUCUCAGAGCUCCCCCAGACCCCACUCUCUCCACAACCUAAAUGGGAGCAGGUAGACAGGGCCUUCAAACGCCCUGGCCAGGACCAGGGACAGAUUAGAAGGCUUAGAGGAUGGGAUGCCCUCCUCCAAACUCCCAGGCACAACGUUCCAGAGCACCUCCACACUGGAUCCCUAGAAGGAGGACCAUCUGGAUGGCAAUCCUCCAGGCCCCUGGCUCCUCCUGUGGUCAGGAAUACUCACUAGUACAGGCAGGGAUCACCAGCCCUGCUCUGGGAGAGACUAGGCCUCCAGCAAGCCACAGAGCCUGCUCCAGGGACAAUUGGGCAUGGUUAGAAACAGAUGCUAACCCUGGAACUCUAAAACGCAGGGUAGAAAUCAACCCCUGACCUCAGGAAGUUCCCAGUCUGGUGGGAGACACCACUCACCGUUAUGCUUCUCAGUCUAAGGGGUAGGGACUCCAGCCCUCAGGGAACUACGAAUAUCCUGGAUUUCAAAAGCAUGUUUUCAGGCACAGGAAAAGUAUCUUGACUGCCUGAUAGAGGGGGGUGGAAGAUAUCCAGUUAAGCUGAAGAGAAGGCAACAAAUAUCCUAGCAUAAGUAUAUCCCAUACAGCAAUUUGAGAUAUAAUUAUACCUAGCUUCAUUCUGUGUAACUGGAUAUCCUGUGUUAUUUGCCAAAUUACAAGCAAGCGUCCAGCUUGAGACAGACAGACACAGCUCCUCAUGACU